ensembl:lncRNA
GCAGUUGAAACAGUGAUUGGAAGAGCUCAGAUGGAACGUGAAUAGCACGGGGUGUGUGUGUGUGUGUGUGUGUGUGUGUGUGUGUGUGUGUGUGUGUGUGUGUGUGUGUGUGUGUGUAGAGGGAAACAGUGUCUCUUUUUCAUGAGCUCCUCUGCUGUAUAAUUGCUCCCUGCCUCUUCCUGUGAUCCACGCUGAUGUAGGGGAGGGCUCAACUUCUGACGUUAUACAAAUAGGAAUUCCCUUCGCUAGUCUCUCUCACUCCGCUCUCAUUCACUUUCACCCCGUCUGGCCCCCAGACGAACUCACUCUCCCUCUCCCUCUCUCUCUUUAUCUCUCUCUCUCUUUAUCUCUCUCUCUCUCUCUCUCUCUCUCUCUCUCUCUCUCUCUCUCCUAUAUAAACACUUAUAGUGUCUAUACUGGAGUCGGACACUCCCUCUGAGACACAGCUGCUAUAAGGUUCCUCUCACGCUCUGAACGGAGGACAUACAGAGAGAGAAAGCCGUCCGAUCACCCAGUCUCGAAAGACCGUGCCAGACGCUGCACAGCCAAAACAACAUCCAGAGGAAGGCGAAGGACAAAAAAAAAGUGUGGCAAAACCAGAAAGGCCAAGCCGGGAGUAUUAGACGAGGUGUGCAAGCUGGAGCGCUAGAUCACAAGAGAGCGAAAGCGGCCGGAGUCUACAGGAAGCCCAGUCUCUCAGACACUAGAAGAAGGAGGGGCCAGCUGCAGUGACCACGGACUACAUGACAAAAAAUGAGAGCCCUUCUGUAUGAUAUGAAAGGACAGAUGUAGAAAUGUAGGACCCCACCUCAGCCAGAAUGACUCAAGCCCAG